rnacentral:rRNA from 1 species
UACGUAGGGUGCAAGCGUUAAUCGGAAUUACUGGGCGUAAAGCGUGCGCAGGCGGUUCUAUAAGACAGAUGUGAAAUCCCCGGGCUCAACCUGGGAACUGCAUUUGUGACUGUAGAGCUGGAGUACGGCAGAGGGGGAUGGAAUUCCGCGUGUAGCAGUGAAAUGCGUAGAUAUGCGGAGGAACACCGAUGGCGAAGGCAAUCCCCUGGGCCUGUACUGACGCUCAUGCACGAAAGCGUGGGGAUCAAACAGG